UGAAGGCAGUGUAUUACAUCAGACUAAAACAAAGGCCUAGGAAAGGGAAUGUCAUCUCAAUCGGUGAAGACACCUGCAUUACAUCAAAGUUAUCAAAACUGCAGAGGGGAGCAAUCACAGAAAAUGCCACUCAGAGUCGAGAGAGGUGCCAGACAGGUGGCCAAAUAGAGAGAGAACCAAACAGCUCAAGUGGGAGAAACAAACACAGAGAUGUUUCUUUUAAAAACCUCUUUUUCACUAUCAGAGGCCUUCAGGAACUUCUUCAUCCAGCAAGACCAGGCUAUCAAUCCAGAGCUCUGUCAUCGGCUAGAGAGGCCUUCAGUAAAAGCCUUUAGGAAAAACCUAUGUAGCCUUGCUGGCUGCAGCAAAAGAAAUAGGCUGAGCCAUGUGAGGCCUGGCUGCAACUGUCCAAAGCUUCUUCCAAAAUGUUGAUGGCAUUGUCACCUUGAAAUUUCUAUCAGAUAAAAAUUGUGGAUUUAGAUUUGCCUAGCAUUGUUUAAAUGUGAGCAACAUAAAAUAUAUUGAAAAAUCCUAAUUGCAAAAAACCCUAAAAGAAGUUAUAACAGAGGGUGUGCAUUGGGCAAGAACAUUAAAGUGAAAGAUUCUUAUCACAAAUAGAUAAUGAAGAAAAACUUUGCUAUCAGCAUAUCUGGAAUGUUGUUCUGAAAUAUAUAAGGCUUCCUAAAGUCAAAUUGGUACUUGGCCAGAUGAAUUCUUCUGGUUAUAAUACUUUAGAAACAAAAACAUUUGCAUUUACUGACAGAAUGAGGGAUAUGACAGACAGGGGAAUAUUGCAUUGCAUCUGACUCAAGACCACUUUUCUUAACAAUUUUGUUCAAAUAAAGUUAUACCUGA